GUACUCUCUUCAGUAACACACAUACUAAAUUGGAACAAGACAGAGGAGAUUAGCAUGGCCCCUGCACAAGGAUAGCAUGCAAAUUUGUGAAGCAUCGUGUAUUUUU
ensembl:snRNA U6 U6 spliceosomal RNA